GUGGACACAGAGGUUGACAAGUCAUGGAAAUACUGAGAAAUGAUGGUGUUUCAGAGUGGUCAGAGUUGUACUUCAAAGCAUUGGAUCUGUUCAAGAACUCAGUUUGCCGUGCAGAGUACAAGAACAUACACGACCCAGUCAACCGCAUAGCUUGGAUCGAAUGGACGUGGACCCACGGGAAGCUAAAGUAGCAUGGGUCAUGUAUCGCAAAGCAGUUAGCUGGACUAGUGUAGUCGUUUAGUGUCUUCUAUGGUGCUUACGAACAAUGAUUGUAAUAAUGUUGUUUAGGUUAUCGCAGUAGCCUUGCUUAGCUUCCUUCACCUUGCUUUCAGUUACUGAACUUGGUUUGUUCACUUUGUUGAACUUGGUUUUAGUUAUCGCUGCAUAAGUUUGUUUACUUCAGAGAAGUUAGUUUAAGUUAUUGCUGCAUUAGUUUCUUCCUCUUGUACUAUUUCAAAUUUUGUCCAUCACCUAAAUAUAAAUGUUGUGCUUUAGUUAUUACCUGAUUCAACUUUGAUGCCUCAAGCUUCUGCAGGACUUUUAGGAGAAGAACACAACAUCCGAGGCAUACCUAAUGGCAGGUGAAGGGGCAAGUGAUGCUUCAAGUGAUUCAAGCAAUACUUACUGGGAUUUGGCAACGUGUGCUGCUGCUGUCGCAGCAUAUGCGACCGAAAAUCCAAGUGAAAUGGCCAUGGACAACCAAAUAGCAGAGACGCCCGUGCCAUUCGAAGUGCAAGAGGCUACUGGCUGACAAUGGGUGGAAGCUUCUUUGAGGGACCCAUGGAGAUGCUAUGAGAAUUUCCGUAUGAACAGCGAGACAUUUCAUAAGCUGCAUAGAAUUUUAGUUAUGAACCAUGGGCUGCAGUCUAGUCAAGAGUUCCAUUCCAUAGAGGCUGUAGGCAUGUUCCUAUGGGCAUGCGGGCAUGGCCAUUGCAUGAGGCAGGUCAAAGAUAGACUUCGUAGGGGUUUGGGAACAGUAAGCCAGAAGUUUGGGGAAGUACUACGGGCGCUGAAGUCAUUUGCAGAUAUAGUGAUUAGGCCGAAGGAUCCUACUUAUAGCAUCGUGCAUGCAAGUUUGAGGUCUUACUCACCUUUGUUCGACGGAUGCAUAGGUGCUAUAGAUGGAACACAUGUACCUGUGUGUGUCUCUCGAAGGU